UAAGGAAUAUUGGUCAAUGGACGCAAGUCUGAACCAGCCAUGCCGCGUGGAGGAUGAAGGUCCUCUGGAUUGUAAACUUCUUUUAUCUGGGACGAAACACUUCUUUUCUAAGAGGCCUGACGGUACCAGAUGAAUAAGCACCGGCUAACUCCGUGCCAGCAGCCGCGGUAAUACGGAGGGUGCAAGCGUUAUCCGGAUUCACUGGGUUUAAAGGGUGCGUAGGUGGGUAUGUAAGUCAGUGGUGAAAUCCCCGAGCUUAACUUGGGAACUGCCAUUGAUACUAUAUAUCUUGAAUACCGUAGAGGUAAGCGGAAUAUGUCAUGUAGCGGUGAAAUGCUUAGAUAUGACAUGGAACACCAAUUGCGAAGGCAGCUUACUAUGCGGUGAUUGACACUGAGGCACGAAAGUGUGGGGAGCAAACA
rnacentral:rRNA from 1 species